UACGAAGGUCCCGAGCGUUGUUCGGAAUCACUGGGCGUAAAGGGAGCGUAGGCGGCGCGGUAAGUCAGAUGUGAAAUCCCGGGGCUCAACCCCGGAACUGCAUCCGAUACUGCCGUGCUUGAGGGUUGGAGAGGUAGCUGGAAUUAUCGGUGUAGCAGUGAAAUGCGUGGAUAUCGAUAGGAACACUCGUGGCGAAGGCGAGCUACUGGACAACAUCUGACGCUGAGGCUCGAAGGCUAGGGGAGCAAAAGGG
rnacentral:rRNA from 1 species